AGCUCCAAUAGCGUAUAUUAAAGUUGUUGCAGUUAAAAAGCUCGUAGUUGGAUCUCGGGAGCAGGCCGGCGGUCCGCCUCUCGGCGGGUUCUGCCCGUCCUGCCCCACCUCCCGGGUUUUCCCCGGGGCUCUUUAUUGAGUGUCUCCGGUGGCCGGAACGUUUACUUUGAAAAAAUUAGAGUGUUCAAAGCAGGCAGUUCGCCUGAAUAAUGGUGCAUGGAAUAAUGGAAUAGGACCUCGGUUCUAUUUUGUUGGUUUUCGGAACUUGAGGUAAUGAUUAAGAGGGACAGACGGGGGCAUUCGUAUUACACUGUUAGAGGUGAAAUUCUUGGAUCGGUGUAAGACGAACUACUGCGAAAGCAUUUGCCAAGAAUGUUUUCA
rnacentral:rRNA from 1 species